GAUGAACGCUGGCGGCGUGCCUAAUACAUGCAAGUCGAGCGAAGCGGGGACGGGUGAGUAACACGUGGAUAAACUCCUAUAAAACUGGGAUAACUUCGGGAAACAGACGCUAAACCUACCACUUAUAGAUGGAUCCGCGCUGCAUUAGCUAGUUGGUAAGGUAACGGCUUACCAAGGCAACGAUGCAUAGCCGACCUGAGAGGGUGAUCGGCCACACUGGAACUGAGACACGGUCCAGACUCCUACGGGAGGCAGCAGUAGGGAAUCUUCCGCAAUGGGCGAAAGCCUGACGGAGCAACGCCGCGUGAGUGAUGAAGGUCUUCGGAUCGUAAAACUCUGUUAUUAGGGAAGCGGUACCUAAUCAGAAAGCCACGGCUAACUACGUGCCAGCAGCCGCGGUAAUAC
rnacentral:rRNA from 1 species